CAUUAAGAAGCUAUGAACCAGCAUUAGCCUUUUAAGCUAAAGAAAGAGGGGACCCUACCCUCCUUAAUGA
rnacentral:tRNA from 1 species